UGGGGGAUAUUGCACAAUGGGCGAAAGCCUGAUGCAGCGACGCCGCGUGGGGGAUGAAGGCCUUCGGGUUGUAAACUUCUUUUGCUCUGAACAAGGCAUGCUAAUGGGUGUGUUGAGUGUAGGGGUUGAUUAGCGCCGACUAACUACGUGCCAGCAGCCGCGGUAAUACGUAGGGCGCGAGCGUUGUCCGGAAUUAUUGGGCGUAAAGGGCUUGUAGGUGGCUGGUUGCGUCUGUCGUGAAAGCUCAUGGCUUAACUGUGGGUUUGCGGUGGGUACGGGCUGGCUUGAGUGCAGGAGGGGAGGCUGGAAUUCCUGGUGUAGCGGUGGAAUGCGCAGAUAUCAGGAGGAAUACCGGUGGCGAAGGCGGGUCUCUGGGCUGUUACUGACACUGAGGAGCGAAAGCAUGGGGAGCGAACAGG
rnacentral:rRNA from 1 species